rnacentral:rRNA from 1 species
UGGGGAAUAUUGGACAAUGGGCGCAAGCCUGAUCCAGCCAUGCCGCGUGAGUGAUGAAGGCCCUAGGGUUGUAAAGCUCUUUCACCGGUGAAGAUAAUGACGGUAACCGGAGAAGAAGACCCGGCUAACUUCGUGCCAGCAGCCGCGGUAAUACGAAGGGGGCUAGCGUUGUUCGGAUUUACUGGGCGUAAAGCGCACGUAGGCGGACUAUUAAGUCAGGGGUGAAAUCCCGGGGCUCAACCCCGGAACUGCCUUUGAUACUGGUAGUCUUGAGUUCGAGAGAGGUGAGUGGAAUUCCGAGUGUAGAGGUGAAAUUCGUAGAUAUUCGGAGGAACACCAGUGGCGAAGGCGGCUCACUGGCUCGAUACUGACGCUGAGGUGCGAAAGCGUGGGGAGCAAACAGG